CCUACGGGUGGCAGCAGUAGGGAAUCUUUCACAAUGGGCGAAAGCCUGAUGGAGCAACGCCGCGUGCAGGAUGAAGGCCUUCGGCUUGUAAACUGCUUUUAUAAGCGAGAAAUAUGAUGGUAACUUAUGAAUCAGUAUCGGCUAACUACGUGUCAGCAGCCGAGGUCAUACGUCGUAUCCGAGCCUUAUCCGGAGCGACUGUGUGUAAAGAGUUGCGUAGGUGGGAUAAUAAGUAGCUAGGGAAAUCUGGUGGCUCAACCAUUCUGACUAUUAGCUAAACUGUUAAGCUCGAGACCGUUAGGGGUAACUGGAAUUUCUAGUGUAGGAGUGAAAUCCGUAGAUAUUAGAAGGAACACCAAUAGCGUAGGCAGGUUGCUGGGACGGUUCUGACACUAAGGCACGAAAGCGUAGGGAGCAAACGGGAUUAGAUACCCUUGUAGUC
rnacentral:rRNA from 1 species